rnacentral:rRNA from 1 species
CUACGGGCGGCAGCAGUGAGGAAUAUUGCACAAUGGGGGGAACCCUGAUGCAGCGACGCCGCGUGGAGGAUGACGCAUUUCGGUGUGUAAACUCCUUUUAUAUGUCAAGAAAAUGACGGUAGCAUAUGAAUAAGCACCAGCUAACUCCGUGCCAGCAGCCGCGGUAAUACGGAGGGUGCAAGCGUUACUCGGAAUCACUGGGCGUAAAGGACGCGUAGGCGGGUUGGAAAGUCAGGUGUGAAAUCCUACAGCUUAACUGUAGAACUGCACUUGAAACUUCUAAUCUAGAGUAUGGGAGGGGGAGGUGGAAUUAGUGGUGUAGGGGUAAAAUCCGUAGAUAUCACUAGGAAUACCUAAAGCGAAGGCGAUCUCCUGGAACAUUACUGACGCUAAGGCGUGAAAGCGUGGGGAGCAAACAGGAUUAGAUACCCUCGUAGUC